ensembl:lncRNA
CUGGAAUCUCUUAAAGGCUACGAGCCCGGGGUCCACCGGCUCCGGGAUGCCAUUGGCUGCUGGCUUGGCGCAGGCGCUAUGGCUCCCGGGUUGGCGUUCGGGAUUGCUGAGGCAGGGCUUUGGCUACUGGAGACUGUAGGUUCGAAUCCCAUCUAGGAACUUCAGUUUGCGCACCUGUAAAAGAAGCUGGUAUUAUUGGCUGGCACAGAAUGUAUUGGGGAAGUUUAAAAGGCAUUUUGGCUUCUGCCUUGCUCUUUCUGGGAUCUCUUGCUUUAGUGGAAGCCAUCUACCAUAUUGUGAGGAUACUCAAGCAGCCCCUUGGGGAGACACCUGUACCACAUAACUGAAGUAUCUCAGCCAAAAGCCAGCACUAAUUCAUUAGCCAUGUAAGUGAUCCAACCUGCAAGUGGAGCUUCUGGGUCCACUCCAGCCUUCAGAUGACUGCAGCCCAAGAGAUCCAAAGCCAGAACUGUGCAGCCAAGCUUCUCCUGAGUUCCUGACUCCUCAAAACUGUGACUUGAAGACUCUGAUCUGCUUGGUGGUGAAUAUCCCAGAGUGAGGUGUCUGAGCUCUUUGUUUUUCGGUCCCUGAUCCGUUUGUGGGUAUAUAAAUCACAUAUGAGCUCCCUGAUUAGUUUGUGGGUGUGUGUCUCCCAGGACAUCAUGUCUCGACUGAUUUAUGCAUGUACAUCUCUGUUCAGCUGAAUCCUGGCCCUCAGUAAUAUCCAUGUCUCAGUCCCUAGUGAAAGUGUUAGUCACUGAGUCAUGUCUGACUCUGCAACCCCAGGUUCCUCUGUCCAUGGGAUUCUUUAGGCAAAAAUACUGGAGUGGGUUGCCAUUUCCUUCUCCAGGGGAUCUUCCUGACCCAAGGAUUGAACCUGGGUCUCAUGCACUGCAGGCAGAUUCUUUACCAUCUGAGCCACCUGGGAAGCCUGUGACUAUGUUAACUUUCUGGCAGAAGGGACUUUGCAGAUUUGAUUAAGUUAAUCACCAGGAGGCUGGGGGUUUAUCCUGGAUUAUCCAUGUGGGCCCAGAGUAGUCACUAAGGUCCUUACGUGUGGGAG